GCUCUUCUCAUCUCAAACAAAGAAGCGAACGAAACUAAUACAAAGCAGUGGCCAAGUUUAUUCAAGAAAGUAAAAGUGAAGCAUGGGGAAGAAACUAACACUGCAGAGUGAACUUGAGCCGAGUAAAAGGAAAAGGAAGAUAAAGGAACACCCUGAAGGAAGGAGGGCAAACCACUGUGAGGAAAACCAGCGUAGCAAGUGGUUCUUGGCGUAUGUGUCCUCCAUACGGUCCAAAUCUCACGGAAACCCGCGAGAACUUCUACAUACGGGUCCUGAGAAGCAGUGCUGGAAGUUGAGUUUCCACUGUUCUAUUGAAAACUUGCUCAAAGGGCAGGGGAUUUAGCUCAGUGGUUCUGCCGCCCGUCUCAAAAGUGCAAGGACCCAAGUUCAAUCCCUGGUACCAAAAAAAAAAAAACUUUCUCAAAAUCUCAUAAGAAGUCCAUGUGCAAAAGCUUUGCACAUGUUCUAAGAUCUUGUAAUUAACAGGUCACUCCUACUUCUUCAGCCAGCUUUGCCACACCCUAAUCUCUUAUUUUAAGACCCUGUCUCAAAAUCAAUAAAAAGGGUUGGGGAUGUAGCUCAGGGAGAAAGCCCUGAGUUCAAAGUUAUUUCAAGUCGUCUGGAUUGGAUUUGAGUUUUGGAUCCUCCCGCCUCAGCCUACUCAGUAGCUGGGAUGAAUCUACAUUCUAGCACACUGUACCGUAGUCAUGCAUGUUUUUGUUUCAGGCCCUGGUCUCCCAGACAGUGCUGCUUCCCAGGAGCUCCCAGAAUAUCCCAGUCUCUGAAGUGGAUGUGGCCUUCCUGGUCCAUGUUAGGAAAGCUUUGGUGGCUCUGUGGCCCCAGCCAGUAGGGAGAGUUCAUGGUCUUCACAGGGCUCCCAGCUGUGACCUCGCUCAGCAUCCAGUCACCUUGGGGCCUCUGCUUACGCUAUACCCAUUGUCCAGAACACACUUCCGGCCUUCCUGCUUAGACGCCUCUUCUGGUCCAUCCACUUCUCUGGAGAAUGUAUCACUGACUGCAGAGCCAGCAGAUGUGCCUGGCCCAUGUUCUUGGAGCCCCUAGUGGUGGCCACACACAGCUGGUUCACGCUCAGGCUCUGAUGAGAGGGACACCUGUCCACCUCUGCCCAGAAUCAAGCCCCACAGGGCAGGCUCUGGGGCAGGUUAACACCAGAGUGCCCUAGAGCUGCGUUUAUUGGGCACUCGCUGCAAGUCACAUACAGUUUGAAGUGAAGUAGAGAAAUCAACUCAUUUAAUCCAAGAAGUGCCCG
rnacentral:lncRNA from 1 species